rnacentral:RNase_P_RNA from 1 species
GGAGUAGACCGGGUGAUCGCUCGCCGGCUUGCCGGCGGGAGGAAAGUCCGGACUCCGAAGGGCAGGGUGCUGGGUAAUUCCCAGGCGGAGCGAUCCGACACCGGCGCCACAGAAAACAAACCGCCGAUGGCCCGAAAGGGAUCAGGUAAGGGUGAAACGGUGGGGUAAGAGCCCACCGCGUCUGUGGUGACACAGACGGCAGGGUAAGCGUCGCCCGGAGCAAGACCAAAUAGGAGGACGCCCGACCGCAAGGUCGGAUCGGCUGGCCCGGCCGAGGUCCUCGGGUAGGUCGCCCGAAGCUCGAGGUAACUCGAGCUCCAGAGAAAUGAUCAUCCCCGUGGCGGCGUCAAGCCGAGGCGGGACAGAAUCCGGCUUAUAGGUCUUCUCCAGCG